rnacentral:rRNA from 1 species
GACAAGAAAUAACAAUACGGGGCUAUUGUCUUGUAAUUGGAAUGAUGGUGACGUAAAAGCUCACCAGAGUACCAAUUGGAGGGCAAGUCUGGUGCCAGCAGCCGCGGUAAUUCCAGCCCCAAUAGCGUAUAUUAAACUUGUUGCAGUUAAAAAGCUCGUAGUUGUAUUUCAGCCUGUCGUCUUUUCCCUUGUUUGGGUUUUUUCGCGGGCCUUUUUUUUACUUUGAGAAAAUUAGAGUGUUUCAAGCAGACUUUUGUCUUGAAUACUUCAGCAUGGAAUAAUAGAGUAGGACCUUGGUUCUAUUUUGUUGGUUGUGUACCUUGGUAAUGGUUAAUAGGAACGGUUGGGGGCAUUCGUAUUUAACUGUCAGAGGUGAAAUUCUUAG